AUUAAACAUAUGCGUGUGUGUGUGUGUCCUGAAGAGCACAACUGAAAUAAAUGUACAUCCCCAAACCACCACCAACCAACCAACCCCCCUCACCCCUAGAGAGGGGAUCGUCACCCUCCCUAUAAGCAAAGCAUCGGAGGAUAAAAUGGCUGCAAGGCAAGGCAAAGAUGCUUCUGCCAGAGGCGGGGUGGAGUAAUCUGGAUUCAGAGAUCCAAGACAUGCCACUUGGUGACACUUGAUGACCAUCCCUGCCGAAGGAGUGAGAGGAAAUGCGACCUCACUUCUCAUAAAACAAAUCAAGACCAAACUUCAGAGAGUACAUCUCGAUG